AUUGAACGCUAGCGGGAUGCUUUACACAUGCAAGUCGAACGAGUGGCGGACGGGUGAGUAAUAUAUCGGAACGUGCCCAGUAGCGGGGGAUAACUACUCGAAAGGGUGGCUAAUACCGCAUACUUUUGGAGCGGCCCAUAUCGGAUUAGCUAGUUGGUGGGGUAAAGGCUCACCAAGGCAACGAUCCGUAGCUGGUUUGAGAGGAUGACCAGCCACACUGGAACUGAGAAACGGCCCAGACUCCUACGGGAGGCAGCAGUGGGGAAUUUUGGACAAUGGGGGAAACCCUGAUCCAGCCAUGCCGCGUGUAUGAGAAGGCCUUCGGGUUGUAAAGUACUUUUAGCAGGGAAGCGGUAUCUGCAGAAUAAGCACCGGCUAACUACGUGCCAGCAGCCGCGGUAAUAC
rnacentral:rRNA from 1 species